UACCAGCGACCCCGAGUGGUCGGGACGGAUUAUUGGGCCUAAAGGCAAUCCGUAGCCGGUUUUACAAGUCCUCCGUUUAAAAUCCAACUGCUUAAACAGAUGGGCUGCGGAGGAUACUACUAAGACUAGGAGGCAGGAGAGGCAAGCGGGUACUCAGUGGGUAGGGGUAAAAUCCGUUGAUCCAUUGAAGACCACCAGUGGCGAA
rnacentral:rRNA from 1 species